rnacentral:lncRNA from 1 species
GAACUAUUCACAGCUUUAGUUAUGAAACAACUUUGUUGGCUAGAAUAAAAUGAACUCAUAGAUAGUCUGUCCCCGUGGAGCUUGGAUGCACAGAUUUUCUGACAAGGGAAAUAAAGUCAAAAUACUGGCUUCCUUCUUUACCCAAAAAUAUCCAUGUGAUUAGCAUAAGCAUAGUUUAAUGCUAUAGACUGAAUCCUGAUUGAUGUAAGAGUGUUUAUUUGACUGAAUGCUAUAUACUGAAUCCUGCUUGAUGUAAAAGUGAGCCUCAUAUUUUGCAGAAGCAGGGUAUAUCAUGUUGUCACGAGUCCAUAAUUUAAUCACAAAAAUAAUAUCCAGGUAACAAAAACUUUGUCUUCUUAAGCAUUUACUAGUAGUAGCAUUCCAUAUUAAUCUGUUGACACAGCUACUCCAGGUAACAUGUUGAAUAUUCUGCAAUCUCUUCCUGUCAGCCAGUAUAUGAGGGCUAUUUCUUUAAAAGCACUUGGUAUGGAGAGAUGGUGUGGUGUAAUACAGGCAGCACAGACAUUCUGCUCUCGGUAGUAUGUCUAGCCAGCAGCUCUGGCAUU